rnacentral:rRNA from 1 species
UACGUAGGGAGCGAGCGUUGUCCGGAUUUAUUGGGCGUAAAGGCGCGUAGGCGGUUAGGUAAGUCGGGUGUUAAAUCUCCAAGCUCAACUUGGAGUCGCCACUCGAAACUGCUUUGACUUGAGUCUGGUAGGGGAACACGGAAUUCCCGGUGUAGCGGUGAAAUGCGCAGAGAUCGGGAGGAACACCCGUAGCGAAGGCGGCACUCUGGGCCGGUACUGACGCUGAGGAGCGAAAGCGUGGGGAGCAAACAGG